rnacentral:rRNA from 1 species
GAACGGCAGCGCGGGAGCAAUCCUGGCGGCGAGUGGCGAACGGGUGAGUAAUACAUCGGAACNUGCCCAAUCGUGGGGGAUAACGCAGCGAAAGCUGCGCUAAUACCGNAUACGAUCUACGGAUGAAAGCAGGGGAUCGCAAGACCNUGCGCGAAUGGAGCGGCCGAUGGCANAUUAGGUAGUUGGUGANGNAAAGGCU